rnacentral:rRNA from 1 species
CCUACGGGAGGCAGCAGUGGGGAAUCUUGCGCAAUGGGCGGAAGCCUGACGCAGCGACGCCGCGUUCGGGACGAAGGCCUUCGGGUCGUAAACCGCUUUCAGCAGAGACGAGGCCCUCACGGUGACGAUACCUGCAGAAGACGCACCUGCUACCUACGUGCCAGCAGCCGCGGUAAUACGUAGGGGGCGAGCGUUAGCCGGAUUCAUUGGGCGUAAAGCGCGCGUAGGCGGCCUGUUAGGUCGUGGGGCAAAUACCGGGGCUCAACCCCGGUCCGCCCCCGAUACUGGCAGGCUUGAGUAUGGGAGGGGAAGGCGGAAUUCCCAGUGUAGCGGUGGAAUGCGUAGAUAUUGGGAAGAACACCGGCGGCGAAGGCGGCCUUCUGGGCCACGACUGACGCUGAGGCGCGAAAGCGAGGGGAGCGAACAGGAUUAGAUACCCCAGUAGUC